GAAAUGCGAUAAGUAAUGUGAAUUGCAGAAUUCAGUGAAUCAUCGAAUCUUUGAACGCACCUUGCGCCCUUUGGCUAUUCUGAAGGGCAUGCCUGUUUGAGUAUCAUGAACACCUCAACUCUCAUGGUCCGCCAUGACGAGCUUGGACUUUGGGGGUCUUGCCGGCCUAGCGUCGGCUCCUCUCAAAUGGAUCAGCUUCCCAGUGUUUGGCGGCGUCACAGGUGUGAUAACUAUCUACGCUUGUGGUUCUCUGCCAUUAACCUUCAGCGAUGGAGGUUCGCUGGAGCUCACAGAUGUCUCUCCUUGGGGAGGACAGCUUUUUGAACGUCUGAUCUCAAAUCAGGUAGGACUACCCGCUGAACUUAA
rnacentral:misc_RNA from 1 species